AGCCCAGCCCGAAAGCUCAGUUUGUUUCAUUGUGAAACCUUUAUGCUUUAAAAUGUCAGCCCAAAUCCUAAUAAAGAAAAAACUUUGAAAGAAUCACUGCUGUUGAGGUCCUCAUUGGAGCCGAAGUGGUGGGAUGGAAGAGAUCGCGGCAUCUUUUUCUUCUGUGUAGCCUACCGAGUGCCCGGCGCAAAUGAGUGCAACACAACAAAUUUUAGCAAACUUUCUAAGAGAGAAGAUGGGAGACAAGCAAGCAUUCCCCUGGUGGAAGUGGAUGUCAGGUGGGCCUGCUGCUUGGGAUGCUGUGCAGUGCUUUGAAAACCUUUCAGGGACACUGAGUCAUCCUGUGGUAUCACCUAAAGGACCCAGAGGAAGCACAGAUAUGACUAGAAGCCUUGAUGACCAAGCUCUCAUCCCUUUGCUGACUUGCUGUGUGCAGUUAGCACCCUGCUAAGCCUCUCUGUUUUAGUUACCUCUGUUGGAAGGCCAGGUUCAACUAAAUUUGGCCUUAGCGACUGAUACGCUUUGUCUGUGUCCCCACCCAAAUCUCAUCUUGACUUGUAGUUCCCAUAAUCUCUACGUGUUGUGGGAGGGACCCAGUGGGAGGGAAUUUAAUCUUGGAGGCGGUUACCCCCAUGCUGCUGUUCUUGUGAUAGUGAGUGAGUUCCCUUGAGAUCUAAUGGUUUUAUAAAGGGCUUUUCCCCCUUUCAUUCAGCACUUCCCUUUCCUGCCAGCAUGUGAAGAAGAACAUGUGUGCUUUCCCUUCCACCAGGAUUGUAAGUUGCCUGAGGCCUCCCUAGCCAUGCUGUACUGUGAGUCAAUGAAACCUCUUUCCUUUAUCAAUUA